AGCGAACGCUGGCGGCAGGCCUAACACAUGCAAGUCGAACGAACCUUUCGGGGUUAGUGGCGGACGGGGGUGUAACACGUGGGAACGUGCCCUUAGGUUCGGAAUAACUCAGGGAAACUUGUGCUAAUACCGAAUGUGCCCUUCGGGGGAAAGAUUAAUUGCCUUUCGAGCGGCCCGCGUCUGAUUAGCUAGUUGGUUGAGGUAAGGGCUCACCAAGGCGACGAUCAGUAGCUGGUAUGGGAGGAAGGUCAGCCACACUGGGACUGAGACACGGCCCAGACUCCUACGGGAGGCAGCAGUGGGGAAUCGUGCGCAAUGGGCGAAAGCCUGACGCAGCCAUGCCGGGUGAAUGAUGAAGGUCUUAGAAGUGUAAAAUGCUUUUACCGGGGACGAUAAUGACGGUACCCGGAGAAGAAGCCCCGGCUAACUUCGUG
rnacentral:rRNA from 1 species